UCAGCUUCUUUCAAAGCCUCUGCACCCACGGCUGCAAAGCUGCCUUUCAAGUUGUGAAUGGGGAAAUGCUGUGCUGCUUUCAUGGGCUGAGGAGAAGGGACACAGACUGGCUCAGGGCUGAGCCCCUUCCAGGCUGUUCCAUGGGGAUGUUCCUCUGCUGACCUGGCAGAAAAACUGACUGGAACUGAGCUCUGGAAAAACAAAGUGGAGCUUGGAGCAUGUGGCCUGAGGAUUGCCUUGCACAGCCAGGGGUGGUAGCCAAGCAGUGAGCAGGAUGCCCCCAGGCAUUUACUGCCCUACGGAAUUCUGGUCCAAGGGGGAAAACCAAAACAUCCAGGUGGACUUUUUGCUGCCCACAGGCAUAUACUUGAACCUCUCAGUGCCCUGCAAUGCCAGCCUGGGCACCAUCAA